GGAAGGGACAGAUCCUCCCUGCAUCCAAAGGCCUCCUCAGUCUGCAGCUCCAGCUCCAGCUCCAGCCCACAGUGUUUUCCAAGCCAUGCUUCCUGUGACCUCGAUGGGGCCCUGGCUGGGAUAUCAUCAUAUACUAAAUAAAGCUAAGGCCAGGCACGGUGGCUCACGCCUGUAAUCCCACCACUUUCAGAGGCCAAGACAGGAGGAUUUCUGGAGCCCAGGAGUUUGAGACCAGCCUAGGAAACAUAGUGAGACUCAGUCUCUACUAUUAAAAAAUAAAAAUAAAGAAAUAAAAUAAAAGGAAUAAAGAUGAGAA